UGAACAGAAACCCGUUUCCAGGGAAGGCAUAUAUGCUGAUUUAAACAAACAUAUAUGCAUAUUGUUUUAAAGGGGAGUUGGGUUUUUGAGGGAUUUUAGUUUGGUGCCUAGAUUAAAGAGGGAUGAUGGUGGAGGAUGGUGGUGGUGAGGCAGAAGAGAAAAGUGGCAGUGGUAGUGGUGUUCGGUUUUCAUCGAAGGCGAAGGCUUUGGGUUUAAGAGAAUCAGGGCAAUCAAAUUGGUUGACUAAUUUUCACAGAGAUCUGUUGGCAGGCGCAGUGAUGGGGGGCGUCGUGCACACGAUUAUAGCCCCGAUUGAGAGGGCUAAGCUGUUGUUACAAACCCAGGAGAGUAAUAUUGCUAUUUUAUCUGGGCCGCAUAGGAGGUUUAAGGGGAUGUUUGAUUGCAUAGCCAGGACAAUUAGAGAAGAAGGGAUUCUUUCUCUGUGGAGAGGCAAUGGGAGCAGUGUUCUGAGAUAUUACCCUUCUGUUGCUCUCAAUUUUUCUCUCAAGGUACCACCACUCUUACCCUACUAUCUUGCACUUUCGUUGUGUUUAAAGAUGUAAUUUUAUUCGUGGGUUUUGUUUAAAUUUCAAAGAAAUGGUGAUGUUUUCCGUAAAAGGAAUGAUCCCUUUGGAAUAGAGCACUGUCACAUUUAGUUUUCUGCUAUCUGUUUCUUUGUACCCGUGCACUGUUGCAUCUCAGAUUGUUGUACUUGUUUCUGUUUUGCGGCAUUGAGCAAGUGUUUACAUUUGGCUUUUCCAGCCAUGUGUCAAUCUUUGUGCCUUAUGGUUUAACAUAUUUCCAGAAAUGAUGAUCUUUAUGAUAAUUUCUUUGUUGUGGAAAUUGGUUGUGGCUCAAAUUAACAAGAAAAAAAGUUCAUCUUUCUGUGUUUUAUGAUGUUUAGGCACGCAAAAGUUGCUUUUCACUCAAAAUUUGUACUUUAUGUGCCAGUUGUUGGGUUUCUGCGUUUGACCCUGUGGUGAAGAUAGAGCAGGAAACAUAAACUUCUUCUCACUGUUAGUGGUGGUGAGAGUUGUUUUUGUAAGUUGUGACUGAAAAGUAUGUCUUCCUCCUAGUGUUCCAGUGAGAUAUUGAUUCCUGUUGUACAGUAAUGAUGGGUAGGACUGGGAUAUGUUGUUCAUUUAAAGUGUUUUGGUUAUCAAAGCAACUUUUCCAGAUUGGUUAAUUGAUAUGUAGGAUACGCUUAGUUGAUAGAGAAGUUUGAAUGGCUUUGUUAUGAGGAUGUCAAAUUGUCUGAAAAAUUGGCAUUUGUGGUGAAGACAUUUAAUGAACUAGAAUUCUUAAGUCAUUCAAGUUUGAUUCUGUCCUUUUGAAUCUAAUUAGGUAAUCCAGCUCUUGAUGUGCAUCUGUGUCUAUGUCUACUAUAGAUUAUGUGCAUUUGGCCAACUUUCUUCUCAACCUAAUGAUAAAGUGGUGUUGGCCAAGUAAACCAAUACAUAUAGUUCAACAUACUUCUGCAUUUUCUUCAAAUUUAACCCACAAGCUUGACUCUCGGUUUGAAGAUUUUUCACCUCCUCUUUAUGACUAACGCUGAGUGAAGUUAAUACAGUAUUGAAGAUAGCUUGUGCAGAUUUUGGGUUGUUUAAUUCAAAGCUCCACAUGCUAGAAUUUGUUUGUGAAUCAUGCAUAACUGCUACACUGCACCCUGGUAAAAAACACAGCUGGCUAUCAAAGUCAUAAUGUUAUCCCUUACUACUGCUUUAGGGGUCAUUACUGUGUCCGUCUGCACCAACUAAAUGGCAAAAAACAUAACGCCGUCGUACAAUGAUAUUUCACAUAAAGACAAAUGGAAGCAAGGGUUGGAACUAGGGGUGUGCAAACUCGAAAAAUUUCGAUUUCGAAAUCGAUUUCGAAUUGAAUUCGAAAUUUCGGUAAUUCCGUUUUCGAAUUGGUCGAAUUCGGGUCGAAUUCGAAAAUAGAAAUUUUGAAAUCGGAUUUACCGAUUUCGAAUUGGGGAAUUCGAAUUAGGAAUUCGAUUUCUAAUAAUAAUAUUUAAAUAUAAUUAUAAUAUAAUAGUUUUUAACAUAAUAAGUUUACUAAUUGAAAUCGAGCUUCCGAGUUCCGACAAAUUGAGCUUCCCUAUCUGCAAAAACCUAAUUUCUCUUAACUCACCUUGAGCUUCCGCCGCGCCGCCUCUUCCUUCAUCGCUUCUUCGUCACCGCUUGACUCACCGAGUCACCGACAAAGCUUACUAUCUCUCACUCUCUUUCACCAACUCAGUUUACUCUCUCACCGACACCCCUACUCACCACGUCCAGUCUUGUUCGCGUCUGGGUGGGACUAACAUGGCCGCAACUAGAGGGGUAGUGCUUAUGGUGGAGGGGGAGUCGAGGAACGCGAUGCGGAGGAGAGAGGUAUGGAGAAGAUGGCUGUAAAGGGGAAGAGCGGGAAGGAAGAGUGGGUUGGGAAAAGUGAAGGCGAUGUAUCAAGAAGGGACUAUGGUUUGGAAGGUGGUUGGGUCCAGCAGAGACAUUUUUUAUGCAGAGAAAUUUCCCAGACUUUAAUCAGGCAAUCUUUGGGAGAAUCUGGGUCCGUUCGCGAGAGCGAGAGAGAGAAGGCGGACUUCCUUUUUGCAGUUGGACCAAUUUUCACACCAACAGUUGAUGAAUUGUCAUCUAGAUGCAUUCAUCUUCAGCACAAAGAUGCACAAAGGAGAUUCUUGUUUUUCGUUAUGCAGUAUCAGAUGUGAAAGAUUUGACAAGCCAUGGUAAUUCGUUGCACCUCCAGCUCGAUAUACACAUAUUCAACUUAGACCGUCGGACAAUUUGAGGAACGCCAGUGCUUUUACUCACAUUUUUCAGCUAUGUUUCUUACGCCAGUGAUUUUUCAUCAAUAAUUUCAAUGGCAUGCUCAAUCCUUAUUUUUUCUUAGUUAAAUGCGUUCUUUGGGUACUAAUACGCACAAAAAAUGGUUUUGAGUGUUAAUUAACAAAUUGUAUUAUUUGACCUUUUUAAUUUCUUUGUUUCUUCUUCUCCCUGACAUACACGGAGCAACAUAGGUGCAACAGAGGUGCUGAACUUUUGUUUUUCAACUUUUGUUUUUCAACUUUUGUUUUUCACUUAUGUGUUUUCCAAGCACAUCUUGAAAACCAUCCAGCAGGCAGACGCCAUUGUAAAUUUUUGUGCACUGUAUGUGUUUUCUGUUCAUGCUUCUGGCUGUGAACCUUUUUGGUUGGAGGAGGAACGGCUUUCAAAUCUCCUCUUAAAUAGAGGCGAAAUUAAGUUUAUUUCAAGAGAAAAAAAAAUGAAUUCGGUGAAUUCGGAAUCCACCGAAUUCCGAAUUCAAUUCGGUAUCGAAUUCGAAAUCGGAAUUAGUCAUUUCGAAAUCGAAUUCGGUCGGGAAAACUGAAGCCAAAAUUUCGAAAAUUUCCGAUUUCAAACUUCCGAAUUACCGCUUUCGAUUUCGAUGCACACCCCUAGUUGGAACAGGGUACUGUGCUUAAGGCUGCACCUUUGGAGUUUUGGGUGGCAUGCCCUCACAUGUGUAUGCAAAUGUUAGAUAACUGAUAUUGGAAAAAUAAGCAUGUUAAUGGCUUAUUCAGAAUGUGGUUUUAGCAUUGCAAGAAGUCCUUAGAUUCGCAUUCUUGAUUUUUCUUUUGGUGCAAGCUUGUGAAGAUAUUGUUUCUGAGUGCCAAUUCAGCUUAUAAAAGUAUGAUGUUGUGCUGUUUCUUAAUAGCCAUCACAGUGUUUUUAUAAGUUUUGAUGCCAUUUUGUAGGACAAUAACCAUAUGUGCUUGCCUCAAAAUUUUAGGGGCCAUUUGGUAGGGAAUCUGCUUAGCUGAAAGUGGAUUUUGUUUCCUUACCUAAUUCUUAAAUUUGUUGUGCGAUAGGUACAAAUUAAGGUUACUGGCCUAUCAUGUUUUAAAUUUCCCAUGCACAGAUUAAUACGUGUACAGUUGUUGUAAUCUUAAGGAUUCAAUGGUUUUUUAUCUCCCGCUUAUCCCAUAUUCAGUUCUUACCUGGAAGAAACAACUAGCAGGAUAUGUGAGUUACUGUAUGUCUUUUUCUUUCUUGAAAAUUUGAUGUGUUGGUGGGGACAUAAAGUUAUACCUCGAUCGUCACCAUUUAGCUAUUUUUUUCAAUCAAAAAGUGCAGGAAACCCUGAACUUUGUUACUUCUUCCGUGGCGAAAACCCAGAUAACUUGCUUAUUUGAAAUGGAAAACAUGUAUAAACUGUAUUUAAGCCAACCUCCUGGAGGAAAUCUUGAGUAAACUGCCUUAGGAAAUCUUGCUAUCAACUACUCUGCAAUAAGGUAUUCUAGGCUAAGCGUGCUCAUUGCCUAUUUUUUCUCGUUUUCAGGAUAGCAACGUAAAAUUCCACCAUUUAGAUCUCAUGCAGCUAGUUCCAGUACCAGGAACUGAAUUUCCCAUGUUGUCCUUGCAUGAAUCCUCAGCCCUUUCAAGACUUGGGCAUUUAUGAACACCCGUUCUGAUGCUGUUCCCUGAAAGAAGAUUACUCUUGUUUAGGUGAGUCAUAUCAGUUUUUCAAGCGUAUGGGUGGAUAGUGGGUAGUGACUAAAAGAUUUCUUCUAGUGGCCUGAACAAACUUCUUAUUAGAGCAUUAGUGGUUCUUUUCCUUAAACAAAAAAGCCAGAGAAGAGAUAACAUCUUAAAUUUCAGAAAAAUUACUUUCUUAUUAUGAGACCAGGUUGCAAUCAGAUGAAAGAUGACUUUUCAAAGUAAAAAUCUUGAAAAUUUUCUGCUUAUAGAAUCCAGUAGUUGUCCUACAAGGAUAAUGGAUAAAUGGACGAACUCAGAUGUUUUCAAGCUUGAGUUUUCUUAUAAUAACCAUGCAUGAUGACAGCAAAAUACUGUAUAUGUCGAUGAUAACAAUGAUUAUGAAAGACUUCUGGGUUCCUGCACUUGAUAUUGCAUCAAUGACAUUGUAUGAAAUAAAUUUGAUGAUUAUUGUCACCUUUGUUAGGAUGCCUCAGUUUCACGCUGGAGGAGCCUUGUUGGUGUUACCUUCUCCUGUCUUCUGAGUUCAAAUACUUUUUGCUGAGUUUAACAAGGAGGAAAGAAAAUAAAAAUAAUCAUAAAUUAUCAUCUUAAUGGUCCUUCAGUUAGUGAUUAAAGUUUGAGCCUGUAGGAUUUGUUAGUUCUUACAUGAUAAGUAGGGAAAAUGUGCAAAUUCAGGUGUUCCUAAAAUCCAGCUAUGGUAAUUGGACACGCAUAAUGCGGCGCUAAGGCUUGAUAUACACUAAUGAAGAUGUCAAGCUGCCAUGCCAUGGGUUACCAGUUGUUGGCUCUUUCUGUAUGAUGUUGCAAAAGGGUUCUUAAAUAUAGGUCAAGAAUGCUUGAUUUUGGUGUUUUAAGUUAAACAACGAUCAAAGAGAGAAAACUAUUAUUAAUCUAUAAUUCCUACUAUAGAUUUCCAUUCAUAGGUUUGUUUGAUCGGGGAUACAUUCAUUUGAAGGUGAAUUUUUCUCGGGGAAAAGCAAAGGGUGGUCUUAGCCCCUAUCCUCUACAGAUGGAAAUUCUUCAUUCUCAUCGUAUUGGACUUUCAAAUUUUUGAUACUUUUUAUCUUGCGUGAGGAAGUUCCAAGGCAGUUAACUUUUCUACUAGUAAUAAACAUGUUACCUAAAUUUUAAAUGCCUCAAGCCAUCAUGAAUGUAUCCUAUAUACCAAGAAGUGUGAUUUUAAAUUCCAACAUGGUAAGGAUAAAUCUGUCCAACUGUUAUCUCUUACCCUUUAUUAUUACUCUUGAACAUUUUCAAAAUGUUAGAGAGUGCGAAAGGUAAUCAAAUAUCCAUUGCUUGAAACCCUUUUCCAUAGAUCAAGUAGAGAGUUGGGGUGUUUUGGCUCUCGGUAAUCUAAUUUAGGUUGGAACGGUAAGUCGUAACAGCCAUUAUAGCCUUUUGAUAUCUUGAAUGCUAUUUUGUCAUAUGUUUGGAGGGUGAGGAGUAGUGGCUGAUAUAUGAGCCGUGAAGAUUUUAGAACAUGAGGCCUUCCUGCCCAUUCUGUCCAUGCCAUGUGUACCUUUAAUAGGUUCUGAAGUGGUUGGGACAUUCUGACUUCAUGUUUCCCUAAAGAUAGAUGUGUUGAUCUUUCUGGUAUUUUGUCUUUGUUUGCAGCCAUAGAUGUGGCUUGGAUGGAAGUUUCUUGUGUCAAAAAUAAUCUGAUGAUCUAUUUUCCUUAGUUACAGUAUCUUGGCUUCCAAUGCCUCGUUAGAUUGUAAAAUGAAUUAGGCUAACAGAUCAUCAGAUUGCCCAAAAUUCAGAAGUCCUCUGCCUCUAUGCCAAUUAUAGAAUAUAUUCUCAUAAUCACAAAGAUGUGCCCGAAAGACUAAGCGCAACUUGACUGGCUGAUCUUAUCCCUGUCUGGUCAGCUAAAAUGAAUCAUGAUCGUCUUCUCACCUUAUGGUUUAGAUUCUUUAUGGACAUAUCAGAUGUUGUCUCAUUUAAAUUUCUGUCGAUAUAUGUCUUUCCACUGUACUGCUCCUUUAUUGUGGGUUUAAGUCCAUUAAGUCCACUGUCGAUAUAUGACUUUCAUUGACGGUAGUUAGCUUUGCAUUGUCCCUGCUUUUUAACAAUGCAUUGACUGUUUUACUUUGGGAACAGGAUCUCUAUAAGAACAUCUUACGUGGUCAAGGCAAUCCUCUUAUAUCUGGGCCAUCUGCUAAUUUCAUUGCUGGAUCUGCAGCUGGUUGUACGACCUUGGUCAUCAUCUAUCCACUUGAUAUUGCACAUACACGCCUUGCUGCUGAUCUUGGAAGGACAGGUACCCGUCAAUUCAGGGGAGUUAGCCACUUCCUCAGUACCAUUUAUGAAAAAGAUGGAAUAAAAGGAAUUUACCGGGGGCUUCCAGCCUCUCUGCAGGGGAUGAUUGUGCACCGGGGCCUUUACUUUGGUGGUUUUGACACGAUGAAAGAGAUUAUGUCAGAAGAAACUAAACCAGAUGUGGCCCUUUGGAAGCGUUGGAUAGCAGCUCAAGCAGUUACAACAUCUGCUGGGUUGAUAUCUUAUCCAUUGGACAC
rnacentral:lncRNA from 1 species